rnacentral:SRP_RNA from 1 species
GCUGGGUGUGGUGGCUCACGCCUGUAAUCCCAGCACUUUGGGAGGCUAAUAUGGGUGGAUCACCUGAGGUCAGGAGUUCAAGACUAGCCUGGCCAGUAAGACUAGCCUGGCCAAUAUGGUGAAACCCCAUCUCUA